AACGAACGCUGGCGGCAUGCCUAACACAUGCAAGUCGAACGAGACCUUCGGGUCUAGUGGCGCACGGGUGCGUAACGCGUGGGAACCUGCCCUUAGGUUCGGAAUAACUCCCCGAAAGGGGUGCUAAUACCGGAUAAUGUCUUCGGACCAAAGAUUUAUCGCCUUUGGAUGGGCCCGCGUUGGAUUAGCUAGUUGGUAGGGUAAAAGCCUACCAAGGCGGCGAUCCAUAGCUGGUCUGAGAGGAUGAUCAGCCACACUGGGACUGAGACAGGGCCCAGGCUCCAAAGAGGGGCAGAAGUGGGGCAUAUUGGACAAGGGGCGAAAGGCUGGUGCAGCCAUGCGGAGUGUGUGAAGAAGGUCUUAGGCGUGGAAAGCAGAAUAAGUGGGGAGGAAGGGCAGUAGGUUAAUAACUCGCUGUUUUGACGGUACCAAAAGAAUAAGCACCGGCUAACUUCGUG
rnacentral:rRNA from 1 species